rnacentral:tRNA from 1 species
GAUUAGCUCAGCUGGGAGAGCGCUUGCAUGGCAUGCAAGAGGUCAGCGGUUCGAUCCCGCUUAGCUCCA